rnacentral:rRNA from 1 species
AUUGAACGCUGGCGGCAUGCCUUACACAUGCAAGUCGAACGGCAGCACGGGAGCAAUCCUGGUGGCGAGUGGCGAACGGGUGAGUAAUAUAUCGGAACGUGCCCAGUCGUGGGGGAUAACGUAGCGAAAGCUACGCUAAUACCGCAUACGAUCUACGGAUGAAAGCGGGGGAUCGCAAGACCUCGCGCGAUUGGAGCGGCCGAUAUCAGAUUAGGUAGUUGGUGAGGUAAAGGCUCACCAAGCCGACGAUCUGUAGCUGGUCUGAGAGGACGACCAGCCACACUGGGACUGAGACACGGCCCAGACUCCUACGGGAGGCAGCAGUGGGGAAUAUUGGACAAUGGGCGAAAGCCUGAUCCAGCAAUGCCGCGUGAGUGAUGAAGGCCUUAGGGUUGUAAAGCUCUUUUGCCCGGGAUGAUAAUGACAGUACCGGGAGAAUAAGCUCCGGCUAACUCCGUGCCAGCAGCCGCGGUAA